rnacentral:rRNA from 1 species
UACAGGGGGUGCAACCGUUGCUCGGAAUCAUUGGGCGUAAAGCGCACGUAGGCGGUCCGAUAAGUCGGCUGUGAAAGUCAGGGGCUCAACCCUUGAAAGCCGGCCGAUACUGUCGGACUAGAGUCCGGAAGAGGCAAGUGGAAUUCCCGGUGUAGCGGUGAAAUGCGCAGAUAUCGGGAGGAACACCAAUGGCGAAGGCAGCUUGCUGGGACGGUACUGACGCUGAGGCGCGAAAGCGUGGGGAGCAAACAGG